CCCUUAGAUGUUCUGGGCCGCACGCGCGCUACAAUGAUUGUCUCAGCAUGUUUUGGGUGUGUAAAUACCCAGGAAUUCCGAGUAACAAUCGUGAUGGGGCUAGACCCUUGCAAUUUUUGGUCUCCAACGAGGAAUUCCUAGUAAAGGCAGGUCAUUAACCUGCCUUGAUUACGUCCCUGCCCUUUGUACACACCGCCCGCCGCACCUACCGAUUGAAUGGUCCGGUGAAAUCUCCAGACGUGGUUUUACCAUGAAAGCUGAUUGAAUCUUAUCAUUUAGAGGAAGGUGAAGUCGUAACA
rnacentral:rRNA from 1 species